rnacentral:lncRNA from 10 species
ACCAGUUUUGAAUUAUGAGUUCUGAAUGAUGAUGGAAACGACUGAUAAUAACAACCACAUGAUGGGGACCCACUGUGAUGCCUUAAUCCUCUCUCCAGCAGGCCAUCUUAAUGAGGUUGCGUUCUGUGGGGCAGGCGGGAUUUUCAAUGAGUGUCUGAGAGCCCCCACCUCCAGCUCCUCCUCCCACUCCUGCAGUCGGACGUGGCAGGAGACUUCUCAGCAUGGGGGAGGCCUUGCUUUCUGGUCACCAGGGAAGCGAGGAGGCAUCGGCCCAGGACAGUAGAGAGCUGGGGCAGGAAGGAGCCUGGGAGAAGCAGAAGUCAAUAAGCAGCAGAUCAGGAGCCAUGUGGAGCAGCCUCCGUCUGCCCGGCAGCCCAGAUGUGGCUUCAGUGACUGCCCAGGGCCUCUCUCCACUCCGGUGGCUGCUGUGCUCCUGCCCAGGGCCCACGGGUGCAGUAGCUGUGUGUCAUCACCAUCUCUAAGCACCUACCUUUAUCUCCAAGGAAGAAAGCUCAUAGAAUGACUAUUUCCAGGGACAUUUGAAUUUUAUGAGUGCUUCUCAAGCCCCAAAGGCAAAGGGAAUGAAAUCAUAUUCGUGGAAUCUGACAGGCUGUUUUGGAGGGGACUAGAAGACAGGAGGGCCUCCUAGGCUCCAUUCUGAAUAGACACACCUAGAUCAUCCCUCCCUCCCUCCUUCCUCGUUUCUCUUCCAGGGGUUUCCCUGGGCUAGGCCCUGGGCUUGACACUGGGAUGCAAAGGGACUGAGUCCUGGCCUGAAGGAAGGCCUCGCUCCUGCCAACCCUGCAGAAAGUGCUGCUUUUCCCAGAGGAGAGAGCAGGGCUCCUGCUGGAGAUGGCGUUGGGAGUGAAUUCUCUACUCUCUCAUGGUCUGUCUGAUGAGCUCCCUCUGGAGUCGGUUCAGCCCUGGUGAACCGGGGGUUCCCAG